rnacentral:ncRNA from 1 species
UGAUAGUGUAGAUCCGGGAGGUUGCAUCAGAAUGCUAUCCGAGAUAGGUUCUGAGGGAUUUCCGGGGAGCGAAUGUCAAGUUCAAGAAACUGACGGCAA